AUGCUUGUCCGAGAGAUAUUGCUGCUCAUUUUAGGUUUUUCGCAUUUUGUUUUUGGUCACUGCUUUCUAACGUCGUUUUUACUUUUUUUCCAGUUCACUCAGGGAGAGCCCCAGAGUUCAUGUGCGCGGAACGUUGCAGAGAGGGCGGGUGAGAGCUGCCAGCUGGCGUGCCAAUGUAGACCCUACCCUCCCCUGCCACCCCCGCCCCCACCUCCUCCACCCCCCAGACUUCUGGUCUUCACUGGUAAGUAUUGGACUUUCCUAUAUGAUGAUUUUGCCAUUGGCCUGAUUGGUUUGCAAAGUAACAUCCCGCUCACUCCACCCUCAGCAAUUAGAUGACUGGCCUUGAUUGAUAGCCUACUAGCCUACUACCGCAAGGCAGAGCAUUGGUAUCACUUCCUGAAAGGUGACAUGACUCGUGAGGUGCUUCCAGCCUUGAUACUUUUCUGCGGGGGUCAGAGGUUGUUGCCAAGUCUCACCCAAAUCAACCCACCACAUACUCAGUGUUCAAGUGGUAGCUGGAUGGAGCUACACAACAGAUGGGUUGGGAUGGGGGUUAGUCUCAACUACAAACCCUUUUUCAAGUUUGAAAACAUCAAACAUUUGCCAAUGUUUAUAUUUUUAAGUAAAUUAUCAGUUGAACUCAUUGAAAAUGAGUAAGUGAGGACGAUUCGUGAACUGGAGCUGUGAACUGCCUGUGGUCACAAACUACACUGCCUCACCAAUAGCAGAUCGUUAUUGCAGGCGAAACGGAUAAGUAAUCUCACCCCUGGAUGUCUAGAAGGCCCCUGUUUGACUAUGCUCAUUUGUUCUGAAUGAGAUAUAAUCUUAUGCGUCAAUGUGGCUGUGCAUACUAAAUGCUACUAUCACAGCUUGGUCUAUGGGCAGCUUAAAUGUAUAGUUCAGCCAAAUUACAAAUGUACUUGUUUCAUUACUUCUAAAGCACUAUAUGGGCAACGAGAGACUGCAAUUCACACUUUGAAUUUGUUAAACAAACCAAUGCCAUCAACUGCUUAGGUCAUUUUCUAACCAAAAAAAAACCAAUGGAAAUGUUACCCUAUUAGCAUGCUAUACUGUAUUUUCAGGCUCAAAUGCCAAAUACCCAAUUUUAUGCUAAUCUGGACCUGAGCAGGAUGGUGUCAACCAGCAGAAGCCAGCAGCACUGUCUGUGUAACCACAGCAUGGCUCUCUGUUUCCUUGUGGGGAGUGAAUUCACCUUUCCCCAGUCUGUGAUAUAGGCCAAAGACGAUCAUAGUCUAAGUUCUUGGCCCCACAGCGUAAACACUGAGAUUAAACCCGCAGUGCAGUUUCCGUUAUCCACAAUUGACUGAACUAGGAGUCCAGCCCCACAGCCCAGUGUCACUGAGUCGACAUGUAGGUAACAUACACCAUAUGUUAUCCGACUCAGGAAUGACCAGGUUUUCUGAAAAUGGAGAUAACUAAAUUAAGUCACUAAGUAUUCAUAUCAUAGCUAUUCCUUCCUCCACUCCUGCCAAUGUUAGCCAUCACCAUCAACAUUAGCUAAGGUCUAAACCCAUAGAAUAGCAUUGAACGCACCUACAUUUUGGCCAGUCAACAGAUUAGCAAAUUGCUUUCCUUCUUUACGCAAUUCAAAUUUUCCUAGAACUGGCCUCUUGGGUUUGAAUUGUGGACCUGGCCGUAAAGUAUGAGGCUGUUAGCGGUGACAGCCUGGCAGCUCCAUCCCAUCUAGUAGUUUAUAUCUUAGAUCUGUCUUUGAGCCUCUAGCUAGCCUGGCCUCAUGCACUGAGAGACUAUUGAUCAGUGAUACUUCGCGGGUAUGGCACGGUGAAGGUUGCGCCAUCAAUCUGCUGUAAUGCUUUUGACAGCUAUUCGUUCCAGGCUUUUGUUUAAACCUUGGGCGAUGGAUGGAGCGAAAAAGAAAACAAGCCAGUGAGAAGUGAGGGAGAAGCUGGGGUUUGUUUUAUUGAUAGUGUGUCUGGUUCCUUGCUCCAGUCAGAAGAGGGCUUUUAUCAUCCUCCCUUUCUCUCUAAAUGUCUCUCUCUACCAUGUCUUUCAUUCAAUUUCUCUGGUAAGUAAAAGGAAACAUUAAUUUCUGGUGUUCAGAUUUACUCUGUUGACAUGACCUGGGAUUUUGAGGCCUUGCUACUUUGUGACAUAAACAAACAUGGUUCUGUGAGACCAUCUCGAAACACCUCCUCCACAGAAGUAUGACUUCUCACUAAGCUUGUGUGGCUGCAUUUAGGAAUGAGGGUGUGUUGAAUGAUAUGGCCUGAAUGGUAUUGUUGUGAAGAUUCGACUUGAGGGCUUUUUGGUGAGAAAAUCUAGUAGGCUUUUUAGGGGUAAGAACAUAAGUAUAUCUAAAAAUGAAUGCCUCAAAUAUGCAUGAGAAAGUUAGGGGCCAACAAAGCCUCCUGCACCUGUCUGUACAGAGAGGGAGAGAGUGAUAAAAGAUUUAAAGGAGAGAGAAUCGUAAAAAAAGAGUAGCUUCAACCACAAAAAAGGCGUUUUAAACGUUCAGCGACCUGGUCUACUUAGCCCUGAUUUUAUUCAAGCCUACAGCCAUCCCCAAAAACUGAGGAUUAAAACUGAAGUUUGGCUCAGGCUGCAGUAAAUUUUAACAUCCAAAGUGACUUGCCGGUGCAGCACAGUGAGGCCCCGCUUGCUGAUGCCUUGUCAUGCACGAGGUCUGAGAGAACCACCGACUCCAGAGUGAGUGUAUCCCCUUGGGUGACCACGGGAAACCUCAGCUCAGCAGCGCUCCGACUCAAACAAACGUGAGUGGGUCUAACGUGUGGCGGCCACCUCAUCUCCCACUAACCCCCCCACCACCUCCCUUUCCCGGCUCAGUGGAAGCAGUGAGGCACCAACACGCAAUUACAAGCCCGGCUCGAGUGGUCAAGUAAGGGGCGGGUACACAACCAAAAUCUACCUUAGUAACAUGGAUGAAGCCUGAGCCGGAAUGUAACUGAAGCUGGCUAAUUUCAGAAAAGCCUGAGUACAUCUAGCUAGAUUUGUAGUUUACCCCUCUGGUAUUGCCAGCAGCAUGCUCUAACCCACUGAGCCAUUGCAACAAUCGUCAUAUCUAUAAGGAGUCAUUAUUCAUACAUACAGUGGGCAUUUGGACCAUUGGGUGUCUGAGCAACCUUAAUUCAUCAAGGACUUUACUUAGGAAUUUACUUAAAUAACAGGGUUUUAUCAAACUAUCCUGUUGGGAAGAUUUAGUCCCGGAUUUCGAGGUUAUAAAUAGACAGCCAUAUUCAAUCCAGGGUGUUCUUUUCCUUAACGAGCAAAGAUUUAUCUCAAAGUACACGGAUCACAAAAGUAUUAUCGCUCUCAUCUUUUCAGCAAUUUGAAGAUGAAUGAUGUUCCGUGAACAGAUAUGUAGGCUAUCUUUAUUUAUCCCCCCGGCUUUUCCUUGGGGCGUUUGUUGUUCACCCUUGCUAAAUAAAGCCGCUGUUGAAAAAAGCCCGGUGACUAUUCAGCCCUUGUUCAUUUUCAAUUAGUCUCGGACCCAUCCGAAAAACUGAAUCCCGUCCCUUCGUCCAUGACGAGACAUGAUGAGGUUUGAAGUGCGCGUGUGAGUAAGUAACGGUGUGACGCGCGCCGCUUUGAUAUGACAAGGGCUCUUCUUUACGUGUCAGCUUCCUCCCUGGAGGCCUGUCGGCUUGACUCCCCCUCCUGCCAAUCAACGUUACAGAGGAGAGGGAGGAGAGAGAUAAAGGGAGAGGGAGAGAAAGACUGAGAGCCCAUCGAGCAUGCCGGGCUAUCAAUCCGCAGGGGCUUUGCGAGUGAGUGUGCUAGCUAGCGUAGAGUUCAUACGCCUGUUUAUGCUAAUUCAGACCAUGUCAAGAGUAAUUAGGCAGCCGGUUCAUGUAGGGAGGGAGAGAGAUUUUUAUUUUUAUUUCACUUUUGUAUAUUAUCUACCUCACUUGCUUUGGCAAUGUUAACACAUGUUUCCCAUGCCAAUAAACCCCCUUGAAUUGAGAGAGAGAGAGAGAGAGAGAGAGAGAGAGAGAGAGAGGCAAUUAAAUAAUAAUUAACACAUGGCUCAAUGGCCAACUUGGUCAAGUAUACAUAGAGAGAGA
rnacentral:lncRNA from 1 species